GCGGGAAUAGCUCAGUUGGUAGAGCACAACCUUGCCAAGGUUGGGGUCGCCCAAGAGUAUAGAGAGUGAGUCUCGUUUCCCGCU
rnacentral:tRNA from 1 species